rnacentral:rRNA from 1 species
CGCGUAGGCGGUUUGAUAAGUCGGAUGUGAAAUCCCAGGGCUCAACCUUGGAACUGCAUUCGAUACUGUCUGACUAGAGUAUGGUAGAGGGAAGUGGAAUUUCAGGUGUAGCGGUGAAAUGCGUAGAUAUCUGAAGGAACAUCAGUGGCGAAGGCGGCUUCCUGGACCAAUACUGACGCUGAGGUGCGAAAGCGUGGGGAGCAAACA